GGGUCAUAGUUCAGUGGUUGAGCAUCUGCUUUGCAUGCAAAAGGUACCAGGUUCAGUCCUUGGCAUGUCCA